UACAGAGGGUGCGAGCGUUAAUCGGAAUUACUGGGCGUAAAGCGCACGUAGGUGGCGACGUAAGUCGGGUGUGAAAGCCCCGGGCUCAACCUGGGAAUUGCAUUCGAGACUGCAUUGCUGGAGUACGGAAGAGGAGGGCGGAAUUCCCGGUGUAGCGGUGAAAUGCGUAGAUAUCGGGAGGAACAUCAGUGGCGAAGGCGGCUCACUGGCCCGAUACUGACGCUGAGGUGCGAAAGCGUGGGGAGCAAACAGG
rnacentral:rRNA from 1 species